rnacentral:rRNA from 1 species
UGGGGAAUUUUGGACAAUGGGCGAAAGCCUGAUCCAGCAAUGCCGCGUGUGUGAAGAAGGCCUUCGGGUUGUAAAGCACUUUUGUCCGGAAAGAAAUCCUUGGCUCUAAUACAGUCGGGGGAUGACGGUACCGGAAGAAUAAGCACCGGCUAACUACGUGCCAGCAGCCGCGGUAAUACGUAGGGUGCAAGCGUUAAUCGGAAUUACUGGGCGUAAAGCGUGCGCAGGCGGUUUGCUAAGACCGAUGUGAAAUCCCCGGGCUCAACCUGGGAACUGCAUUGGUGACUGGCAGGCUAGAGUAUGGCAGAGGGGGGUAGAAUUCCACGUGUAGCAGUGAAAUGCGUAGAGAUGUGGAGGAAUACCGAUGGCGAAGGCAGCCCCCUGGGCCAAUACUGACGCUCAUGCACGAAAGCGUGGGGAGCAAACAGGAUUAGAUACCCUGGUAGUCCACGCCCUAAACAAUGUCAACUAGUUGUUGGGGAUUCAUUUUCCUUAGUAACGUAGCUAACGCGUGAAGUUGACCGCCUGGGGAGUACGGUCGCAAGAUUAAAACUCAAAUGAAUUGACGGGGUCAUAGCUGUUUCCU